UUUCAUUUAAUAUUUUUGGACUGCCGUUGACUGUGGGUAACUGAAACUGUGGACAGCAAAACUGAGGAUAGGAGGGGAUUACUGCAUUUUCUGGCCAGAAGAAAGAUUCAUUUGAUGUGAACCCAGAGAAGAAAUGUAUCUGCUGCAAUGGACUCCCCAUGGUCUCAAACUAGGUGAAAGCAAUGGAGCAGCCACAUUUUACAGACACCGAGAGUCUAGCAGCUGACAGGGGCUCCUCACGUUCUGUUUAUCCCAGGAAGAACUUCAGACUGAACUCUUGGCUUCCUAAGCAAUGCUAUACUCCUUUACACUGCCUGAGCCAACUGUUAUAAGGGGGUUCCUGGUAUCUUCUUCCCACCAGUGGACCAAGACCUGCCCCAUGCAAUCAGAAAUGCUCCAUAACAACCAAUCAGGAUGCAUAAUGCUGACCAACCAGGACUGUGCAGUUCAGAAGUGUAUGAAUUUGGAUAUUUCUUUACAUGAAAUGGACCUAAUUAGGAACUAUGUCAGGAACUUUCUAGCUACAAAAAGUGCCCUUCCCUUUGUGUAGGCAGAACAUAACUUAGGUUGCUAACUCAACCUGCGUCUCCUGGGCUGCAUUUGCUCAAAUAAAUGUUUAUUAUUCUUUA